ACGGGAGGUAGCAGUGGGGAAUAUUGCACAAUGGGCGAAAGCCUGAUGCAGCGACGCCGCGUGAGUGAAGAAGUAUCUCGGUAUGUAAAGCUCUAUCAGCAGGGAAGAAAAUGACGGUACCUGACUAAGAAGCCCCGGCUAACUACGUGCCAGCAGCCGCGGUAAUACGUAGGGGGCAAGCGUUAUCCGGAUUUACUGGGUGUAAAGGGAGCGCAGGCGGCCUGGCAAGCCAGAGGUGAAAACCCGGGGCUCAACCCCGUGAUUGCCUUUGGAACUGUUAGGCUUGAGUACUGGAGGGGCAGGCGGAAUUCCUGGUGUAGCGGUGAAAUGCGUAGAUAUCAGGAGGAACACCGGUGGCGAAGGCGGCCUGCUGGACAGAAACUGACGCUGAGGCUCGAAAGCGUGGGGAGCAAACAGGAUUAGAUACCCUGGUA
rnacentral:rRNA from 1 species